rnacentral:rRNA from 1 species
CCCUUAGAUGUUCUGGGCCGCACGCGCGCUACACUGGUGCAUGCAACGAGUUCUAUCCUUGGCCGGAAGGCCUGGGUAAUCUGUGAACGUGCAUCGUGAUAGGGAUAGAUUAUUGCAAUUAUUAAUCUUGAACGAGGAAUUCCUAGUAAACGCAAGUCAUCAGCUUGCAUUGAUUACGUCCCUGCCCUUUGUACACACCGCCCGUCGCACCUACCGAUCGAAGGUAAUGAUGAGCCCUCAGGAUUGUGGCCUCGUCGCGUCAGCGUCUUGGCUGCGAGAAUCUGUGCAAAUCCCUACCUUUAGAGGAAGGUGAAGUCGUAACA